rnacentral:lncRNA from 1 species
GAUUCCUAGACUCGCCCACUCCUUGUAAACUACGCGGACUUGGUCUUUCACCCUUCCUGUUCCUCCCCGCCGCCUUCCCGGUCCAACGAAAGUACAGAGAAGUGCGGCCGAAAGGAGACGGGCUGGGGAAGUCGUUGGCACUAGGAUGGAAGGAGGGAGGACGUUUUCUCGUGGCUAAGAAAAGCCGAAGGUCCGUGGACUCAUUUUCCUUGAAGGAGCGGAAGGGUUGCUUGCAGACCGCACGGUGACGUCAGCGUCUCUGGGCCCCCACUGAGGGGGCGUGCGGUGGCCGGAGAGUGCGCUGCGCAUGCGCCUGGGGAAGAAAGAAGCGGCCGAGCGCUGCGCUUGGGGGAGGGGAUUUCACGAUCCGCUCCUGUGGUCCAGCUUUACAGCAGCUUGGUUUUAUCUAGCCCUACUCGUCCCCAGGCUCUUAGAAGGAUUCACUGGGAAGGGGCUACUGAUCUCUUGGGUGGAGAUCUUGCAGAUUUGUUGACCUAGCAAAGUAUUACGUGUUCUUACCGUUGACAUGUAAAUAGAAUUGCGGUUUUUCUCACUGCCACAUUGUGUGGGUGGAGGGAGAUUCUAAAGGGUUUUAGGAAUCGGAAAAUUAGGGAGAAUCAAAUCAUGGGUGCUUAAGGCCUCAGUGAAACACUGUAAAUUAUACUGCUGACGGCGAGGAACCUGCUUGGCAAUGUGGCAAGGGGAUUUUAUCCACUCAACCAACACGUCUGAGUAUUUCCGAAUAGGUUUUAUUACCAGGUGCUUAAAGAAUGUGUGGUGACAUAAAUGGGUUUUAUUUGGGGUUCUGUUAGUACAAACGGUAACUUUUUGCUAUUUUGAUUGUUUUAAUUAUUUAAAAAUAUGUAGUAUUACAGAGUUUUGAAAGAGGAAGAGCUAGAUCUCAACCAUUUAUAGAAGUCUCGUUUGUUUUUUCCAUUUGUUUUUUAUAUAGUUAUUUUAACUGUCAGUGAAAAAAUAUGUGUUGAGUUUAUUUAGUGGCCAGACUCAGCAAACUGGAAGUAGCCAAGACAGACAUAGCUCCUGCCUUCAUGGAGUUUACAGUCCAAACAGAGGAUAACCAUUGAGCUAAUUAUCACUAUGUAAAAUUACCAAGUACAUUUACUUGUUUACUUGUGCAUGUAUCCCCUCCCUAGAAUAUAAGGUCGCAGGCGGCAGGGAUCUUGCAUGUUUCACCCUCUAUCCCUGUGUAUAAAAGGCUCUCAAUAUUUGACCAAGUAAACAAUUCUGGUAUUAAAACCGUUAAGAUGGAAAAUCGC